GACGAACGCUGGCGGCGUGCUUAACACAUGCAAGUCGAACGGAAAGGCCCUGCUUGCAGGGUGCUCGAGUGGCGAACGGGUGAGUAACACGUGGGUGAUCUGCCCCUUAUUUUGGGAUAAGCCUGGGAAACUGGGUCUAAUACUGGAUAGGACCAUGCUGUAGGUGGUGUGGUGGAAAGAUUAGUUUCGGUAAGGGAUGAGCUCGCGGCCUAUCAGCUUGUUGGUGGGGUAAUGGCCUACCAAGGCGUCGACGGGUAGCCGGCCUGAGAGGGUGGACGGCCACAUUGGGACUGAGAUACGGCCCAGACUCCUACGGGAGGCAGCAGAGGGGAAUAUUGCACAAUGGGCGCAAGCCUGAUGCAGCGACGCCGCGUGGGGGAUGACGGCCUUCGGGUUGUAAACUCCUUGCAGCCAUGACGAAGCCCUUGUGGUGACGGUAGUGGUAGAAGAAGCACCGGCUAACUACGUG
rnacentral:rRNA from 1 species